GGAUGUGAGGGUGAUCUGGCUGUGAAACUUGUCACCCCAAUGACUGCAAGGGCCAAUUUAUAGCUGACCUGGUUGGCUAGGGGGCGUCCGCUUCCUCCCUCACUGUCCCAUGUGCAUAUCCAGCAGCUGUGCAGUCAAAGAGGGCAACCUCCUCUGGCAGAGGAGAGGAAUCUUUCUUCAGUCAAGGGUAUUCGAGCAGCCACACUCCCCUGCUAGAACCUCCAAACAAGCUUUCACUCUGACUUUUGGUUAUAGUUUCUCUUAAUUGCACAUUUGUAGAUACUGGUUCUUAC
rnacentral:sRNA from 1 species